AAACUGAAAUGACAUGUUUAAGCAAAUUCACUUAAAACGUUAUAGAAAAUCCACAGAGAAAAGAUAGUUUUUUACAUUCCUCAAAAGGAGCACCCUUAAGAUGUAACAAAUAACAAGAUUUAUGUGACCUGGGCCCUGACCUUAUGCCUGAGUUUUCCAAUUUGCCUGCAGUUCUGACAGUCCUUCUACUCUCUGAACUCUGUAUCUUCUCCUAGAUCCCUUAACUUCAGGAGAUUAGGAAGUUCAGAACGUAACUUUCCCAUACACCCAGUAUGUAUUGUUUAUUUUAAUGAUAUUAGAAUUUCCUAUACAGCUGCUUGAUCUCCUCAAAGGGAUAAGUACCACAGUUUAGUUAUGCUUCCUGCCUCAAGAACCUUUCUUUUGCUAUUCCUUCUACCUGGGAUACUCUUCCUCUAGAGUUCCACAUAGACCUUUUCUUCUCCUCUCUCAUGGUCCAUUGAAAUGCCACGUCAGAACAGCCUUUCCUGAUCUUCCCUCCACCCCCAUAUCCCAACGACUAUUACCCUACUGUCUUUCUGAAAAUAGUCACUGUUUAGUCUGUUUUCUAAAAUCUAAGCUUUUUAGGAGGCUGGUCUGUCAUAGAACAUAGGGCCCUCAAUGUGCUGAAUGAGAGUUCACUUCAGCUGCUGCUCUAAUUGCAAGUUCUCAGAUUUUUACACAGGCAUUGAAAACCAGAUCCAAUUAAUGUAGAGAGUAAAAUUUAAAAUAAAAAAUGAAGGGAAUCCAAAAAAUUUCCAGAAAUGUCCUGAGCAAUGAUAACCUUACUAAAACUUGCCCCAGUGGCAGAAGUGCAGCUCGCAUUUGAUAAAAGUAAUUACCACAGGCUUAACAUCAGCUUUUGGUCAAGACCAUCAACUCUGUUUGACUUCAGAGUGGACCAGGCUUGCUCUUUGAGCACCACAUCCCAGCGAUUUAAGAAUGAGCUCUACUGGCACAGCCUCAAGACUGCCUAUAGCAGGCUGUUUCUGGAGUCUAGUGGACAGGGGCUGAGCAGCAUCCAGCUUCCUACUCUGAAUAUCUGCCGGGCCCAUGGGUCCAGAGACCCUUCUAGGUAAGGGUCACCCAAAGGGUGGGGGCAGGCGCAGAAUUAGCAGUCUCUAACUCACCUUCUUCCCAGUUUGGCAAACAAUUAGUGUAUCUGAUGCUGUUCUUCCAAAAGCCCUUCUGAAAGGCUCUCAAAGUUAUUCUGGCCACCAGAUAAGAGAAGACAGGAAUACAGGUAGAAUUUUGUACCCUGUUCUAAGUAAAUCCCUAUAAGAAACACAAUACCCAAAUUCGUUCAGAAGGCAGGAGCCUCACUGUCUUUAGCGUUGCUGCAGUAUCUAGGGCAGAUUAUGUGAAGAUACCCAGGAAAUUCUUCAAAAGAAAAAUUAUUUGUCUAUGUUGAACAGCUCCCAAAAACCACACAAAUGACUCUAUGGGCUUUUGUGCCACUGUAGAAUACCAGCCAUUCUAGAACCCUGAAUGUGGCUACCUUUAGACCAACAAAGCAGAACUUGGAUGAUCAGAUCUAACGCAGACUACAAGGAAGAUGACAAUGAAGCCAAGACACUGUGUCUCCAAAGGCAGCCCAAAUAACCCUCAAAAGAGUGCCCCCCGACCAGGAGAAACCCGCUUGACCACUAUGCCAUCAUCAAGUUCCCCCUAAUCUUGAGUCAGCCAUGAAGGAAACAGAAGAGAAUAACACACUUAUGUUCAUUAUGGAGGUCAAAGCCAACAAGCACCAGAUAAAACAGGCUGUGAAGCAGCUGUAUGACAUUGAUGUGGCCAAGAUCAACACCUCCAUCAGGCCCAAUGGAGAGAAGGCAGCAUAUGUUCAACUGGCUCCUCACUAUGAUGCUUUGACUAUUGCCAAUGAAAUUGAGAUCAUCUAAAUGGAAUCCAGCUGGCUAAAUCUAAAUUUUUUCACCCCCCCCCCCCAAAAAAAAGUAGAACCUAAGAUUUGGUGAUAAGAGCUGUGUUUGAGCUCUGCUACAUAUUUAGGGUAGGACUUUGGUAUACCUCUCUGAGCAUGUUUCCUCAUUUGACCAUAGUUUUGUUUCUGCAUAUGCCAGAGAACCAAGUAAACUGUGAAGGGUUCCUUCCACUCAGGUCACUAGUCAUUUUAGGGACAAAAAUGCAACAUGGCUGGAUAAAGGGGUGGUACUGCAGAGCCCCCCCAGCCACCCACACUAGCUUGACACAAGGGGCACCAAUGGCACAAUGAGUUGGUGCAGGGCUGUGAUGAGGCUGAGGGCUACACUGGAGGGGCCCUGCCAAGUCCCAGGAAAAGGAAAUCCACAUCAAUGUUAUUCAAAAUGGAUUUUAAAUACCAACCAGGAUAAAAACAGACGCAGUUCUAAGAGAACCCAAAUCCCUCAGGCUAUAAUCUUUGAACUGGAAAGGCAAAGAGAGAAAUGAGUCACCUGUUGCAUCAUCUGGUCCAGGGACCACUCAUGAACUCCCUCCAUUUCCUGCAUUCGUUAGCAGCCUUGUUUAUAAAUAGUAACAUGUCACCAAGGCUGUGGCCCAGCAGAGUACAAUGAAAUAUAGCCCAUUUCUAAGACAGAAAUGCUGCUAGGAAGAUAAGGCAGUUCUCCCUCUUGAGAACCCCCUAAAAUUGCAUUUAAAUGUUGUGUGUGCAUUUGCCCACAGAGAGGGUCCACAGUCCAUGAAUUAUCAAGCAGGCCCUUAUCCCAAAUCAUGAAGAUGCAGCUGGUAAAUAUAUGACCCCAGGUGGAAAGAUCACAGGACCGGGAAGGGCAGUGACAAGGUCACCUGGAACAUGAUCAUGUCCUGGCCGAGCCACUGUCACACGUCAUCUCCCGUGUUUAUGCUUCCAUUCCCUCACUUUUCUGGCUCCUGAGUCCCAUGUAGUCAUCAUCCACUCUCCCUUAUUCUUAGAAAUACUUUAGUUCCAGGUUAGGAGGAUAGUCAUUCACUAUUUUGAGCAAUGGUGGUAAGGAGAGAAGGAUGAAAUAACAGCAUCUGCUUUACAAACCAUACCAACUAAUUUUACUACUUUAACUUCCCUGUGGGUGCAGAUGAUUAUCUUCCCCUUUCUCAGCACCUAGCAGUGCCUACAACACGUAAGAGGCCUCUUCAGUAUUUCUUGAGAGGCCUCUUCAGUAUUUCUUGAGUUGAAAUGAUUUAUUUUGACUGCUCUUCCGUAUUCUGACUCUUUACAAAUGAGACCUGAGGAGUUCACACUUAAGGUCACAAAGUGGUUGAGGAAGAGUUCCAGACACAGGCAAGAUGCUGGAUAAGUUAAGCAUGAAGAGACUGGUUCAAGGUGCAAUGUAGGAAGAUCCUGAACCCACCUCUUCCUGUGGUGCCCCAAAUCUCCAGCUACAUAUGGAACAAUAUCCUCUGAAAAAAAAAACCCACAA